UCUUCCUUUUAACCUAAAGGAACUACUGGAAAAUAUGCUUCACCAACACAAGAAAAUAUACCAAGAAAGAGGAAGGCCUGAGUCUCAGGAUAUAAGGAAUACAUGCCAGGAGAAUGGUAAAGGCAAUUCCAAAUUUGAGAGCAAGAGGAGUCCAAGGAUAACACUACAGCAAGUCCAGAAAGCACCAGCCCCAUAGAGAAGUCCCCAGGAGAGAGGGCUCAAAGGAAAACAUUUAGAAUGGCUAGAUUACCCAGUAUGGGUGGUCUAUGGGAAAAUGUACUGAGACACUAUUAUGGGAAGACAUGGGAAAAAUUAGCAAUAAUAAAAAAAAAGCACCAACCACAUGAAAAAAAUCAAGGCAUGUUUUACCUGAGGGAAAAAUAGCAAGGUAAUAGAAAACAAGGAGAGCCUGAGAAACUGUCACAACCAAGAGCAGAAGGAGUCAUGACAACUCAGUGUAUCCUGGAUGUGGUAUCCUGGAAGGGGUCCUGGAACAGAAAAAAUGCAUUAAGCAAAAACAAAUGAAAUCUGAGUAAACAACAGACUUUAGCUAAUAAUAAUGUUUCAGUAUUUAUUUAUUAGUAGUAACAGGUGUACUAUACUAACAUGUUGAUAGAAGAAACGGUGCAGGGUAUAUGAGAACUCUAUAUGUAUUACCUUCACAUUUUUUCCGUAAAUCUAAAACUUCUAAAACAGUUUAUUUUUUAAAAAAGGAAGAAAAUCACAAUACACUUCAACUUUUAGCUUUGAAUAAUAUUUGCAUAGGCACAAUAAUGCAAACACUGAUUUAACAAAAAGAUUGCAAUGUAACUACAUUGAAAGGGUGGGGAAGAAAUGUGUAAAGCAGAGAGAUGGCAGAGUGAGAGAACCAAACUGAUUUACCAUAAAAAAGAUAAGUAGGUAAUGCCCAAAAUUGAUGAUUGAUAGCAAUAUAUGCCUAUUAUUUAGAAAUGUGAAGGUAUAUGAUGGCAGGAGAAACAGCUAAGACUAGAAAGAGGUUGUCUCUGAGGAAAAGGAUUAGGAAAACAGGACACGUGGGACAGAGAACCAUUGUUUUUUAUUUAGCCUUUUUUUUUUUUUUCUUUCCAGACAGGGUCUCACUUUGUCAUCCAGGCUGGAGUGCAGUAGCAUGAACACGGCUCACUGCAGCCUCAGCCUCCUGGGCUCAAGCAAUCCUCCCAACCUCAACCUCCCUAGUAGUUGGGAUUACAGGUGUGAGCCAUCAUGCCCAGCUAAUUUUUUGUAUUUUUUUGUAGAGACAGGGUUUUGCCAUGUUGCUCAGGCUAGUCUCGAACUCUUGAGCUCAAGCCAUCCACCCAAUUUGGCCUUCCAAAGUGCUAGGAUUAACAGGCAUGAGCCACUGCACCUGGCUAUUUAGCGUUUUCAAUGCUAGUUUUCAGAUUAUGUGCAUGUAUUAAUUUGAUAAACAUCAACUAAAAUAAAUCAAAAGGAUGAAGUAGACUGUAAUGCAUUGACAAGCAAGAAAACUGCCAAAUAAUUGACAAAUCAAAAAGCAAAUUCUAGGCUGGGCACGAAUAGUUUUUAUAGGAGACUCAAGAUAGUCCCAGCCACAAGAUCUUGACCCUGAGGAGACAGACAAUGGAAAUAAAAUAAGGGCAGAGAUUUCAAAAGUGGAAUCAGUUCAAGUUGGUCUUAGUGAAAUUAUGACACCUAAGCAAUAUAACUCUAAAAACAUAAGCAUUUGGCUUUGUGUCUCAGUUACAGAAGGCUGGGACAUAUUUAAAACUACAAUUUAGAAAUUAAGUUUGGUUUAAAAGCCUGUUGCAUUCACACACACACUUCUACACACAAAUAUACACACUGUAUACACAUAUAUAGUGAGAAUAUUUGAAAUGAAGAUCUAGAAAAUAAGAGUAGGUUAAAAUCAAGAUAACUCGAGACUGACUAUGGAAGCA
rnacentral:lncRNA from 1 species